CACCACGGCACUCGAGCAGCGCCUCAACCCAGAGCCUCGUUUAGGUUUAAAUAUUUCCUCGUAUCCCCAUCGCUCAAUCUCAGGUUGUAAAAAAUGGCAUCCAAUGGUCCUGCCCAGUCUUUUGUUUGCCAUUUCAGAACUGCAUCCUACACAGCUCAUCCUAGUGUAGUUGGGGUUAUAAUUGGAAGAAACUGAUGUCAAGGGAUUUCCAGACAGAAAAAGCUGAGUUUAUUUUAAAUCUAAUUUUAUACAUGAUGUUCAUGCUGACUCUAGACUUUGACAACCUGCUAAUCGCACUUAACAAAAUUGUAUUUAAUAAUGUUUUCUUUUUUUUAUAAGUAUCUUAUUUCUUCUACACAUAAAAAGAAAACGCUAUUAAAUACAGUUUUGUUAAGUGCGAUUAGCGGGUUGUCAAAGUUUUGAUUUGGUCCCAGCCUUACUAUGACUAUUACUUCUGUAAAUAUCUGCAAUGUUUUGUAGAAGAUUGCCCUCUAGUGGAAGUUGUGUAUAGUUCGGUACUAUG